rnacentral:rRNA from 1 species
UACGGAGGGUGCGAGCGUUGUCCGGAAUCAUUGGGCGUAAAGGGCGCGUAGGUGGCCACUUCAAGCGUGCGGUGAAAGUCGGGGGCUCAACCCCUGAUCGGCCGUGCGAACUGGGGGGCUGGAGCACUGUAGAGGCAGGCGGAAUUCCGGGUGUAGCGGUGGAAUGCGUAGAGAUCCGGAAGAACACCGGUGGCGAAGGCGGCCUGCUGGGCAGUUUUGCUGACACUGAGGCGCGAAAGCGUGGGGAGCAAACAGG